rnacentral:rRNA from 1 species
GACGAACGCUGGCGGCGUGCCUAAUACAUGCAAGUAGAACGCUGAAGGAGGAGCUUGCUUCUCUGGAUGAGUUGCGAACGGGUGAGUAACGCGUAGGUAACCUGCCUGGUAGCGGGGGAUAACUAUUGGAAACGAUAGCUAAUACCGCAUAAGAGUAGAUGUUGCAUGACAUUUGCUUAAAAGGUGCAAUUGCAUCACUACCAGAUGGACCUGCGUUGUAUUAGCUAGUUGGUGGGGUAACGGCUCACCAAGGCGACGAUACAUAGCCGACCUGAGAGGGUGAUCGGCCACACUGGGACUGAGACACGGCCCAGACUCCUACGGGAGGCAGCAGUAGGGAAUCUUCGGCAAUGGACGGAAGUCUGACCGAGCAACGCCGCGUGAGUGAAGAAGGUUUUCGGAUCGUAAAGCUCUGUUGUAAGAGAAGAACGAGUGUGAGAGUGGAAAGUUCACACUGUGACGGUAUCUUACCAGAAAGGGACGGCUAACUACGUGCCAGCAGCCGCGGUAA